ensembl:misc_RNA 7SK 7SK RNA
GGAUGUGAGGGUGACCUGGCUGUGGUAUCCUGGCUGUGGCUGGCUAGGUGGUGGUCCCUUCCUCCCUCACCACUCCAUGUGCAUCCCUCCGGAAGCUGCACGCUUGGUCAGGAGGAUGACCACCCCUGAAGACCACUUCCUUAGUCAAGAUAUAGAAGUGGUUACGCUCUCUUGCUAGAACCUCCAAACAAGCUCUCCAAACUUCAGAACUACUAAUGCAGUAAAAUUUAAGGGACAAGAAAACAGAAUUUAAGUACUUUUGGAAAAAUGUAACAAUCA